rnacentral:rRNA from 1 species
GUUGAACGCUGGCGGCAGGCCUAACACAUGCAAGUCGAGCGGAUGAAGGGAGCUUGCUCCUGGAUUCAGCGGCGGACGGGUGAGUAAUGCCUAGGAAUCUGCCUGGUAGUGGGGGAUAACGUCCGGAAACGGGCGCUAAUACCGCAUACGUCCUGAGGGAGAAAGUGGGGGAUCUUCGGACCUCACGCUAUCAGAUGAGCCUAGGUCGGAUUAGCUAGUUGGUGGGGUAAAGGCCUACCAAGGCGACGAUCCGUAACUGGUCUGAGAGGAUGAUCAGUCACACUGGAACUGAGACGCGGUCCAGACUCCUACGGGAGGCAGCAGUGGGGAAUAUUGGACAAUGGGCGAAAGCCUGAUCCAGCCAUGCCGCGUGUGUGAAGAAGGUCUUCGGAUUGUAAAGCACUUUAAGUUGGGAGGAAGGGCAGUAAGUUAAUACCUUGCUGUUUUGACGUUACCAACAGAAUAAGCACCGGCUAACUUCGUG